CAAGAACAGCUAGCCUAUGAUUUAGCUCUUCUUCAUCUUCGAAUACUCCAAAUGGCUUCAUUGCUUCAGUUAAUUUCUGCGUGUGAAUAUAAUCUAUUUCCUUAGGAGGAGCCAAGCUAAUUGGAGAUGUUAUUCCAUAAUGCCUUUGAGGCUGGUUCUCCAGCCUAGAGUUCCCGCACGUCUCCUUCAUGGCCGCCGCUCACGUGACGCCGGCGCACCCUUCGCUCGGCACCAUGGUGUAGCAUUCUUCCUGCCCAGGUUUACCACCAUUUUUCUUUUCUUUGGGUUCUCCCUUGAUCCAGUGUGCAAGAAGGGAAGCCUGAAUCUGCUUCAGAAAGUUUUGCUUCUAACCUUUGUCGGAUCCUGCAUUUCUCUGUAGGCAGGCAUAUAUACUACUGUUUUCAGCAAAUCAGAACUUUGACAUUCUGUCUGUCUGAAAUCUCUUUCAAAAGAUAUUCUCUAUCCUAAACUCUUGUGUCAUAGUCUGUCCCCAGAAAAACAGCUGCUAUGUUACCUUUUCCAUCCAACUGCACACUAAUAAUAAAAGAUGCAAUCACUGUG